GACAAACCUACCGCUCAGCGUGAUCAUACGUCUGCCUCAUCGUCCACUACAUUUCACCCUCGGGAUCUACAGUAUGCACAAUCUUGGAAAAAGGUAUUUUGGAAAAGAGAUGUCUGGGAAACUGGUGAUGGCUGUAAUUCUUGCGCUCCAAGGCCCCAUGAUGGAUAUCAUUCUUGACAGCAAGAUAACCUGGGACUUACUUAAAAAACUGGACAGCAAUCCCCAUGUCGAGUGUCGAAAUUAACAGCGGAAUGUUGACGGAGGUCAUAUCACUGAUCAGCCAAACUCACACGUCAGGCCCUGGGCUGGACCCUACCUGGACCGGGCCAUCGCUGCCAUCAUAAGCUUCCUGGACACGGCAAUGUCGGUGGAGGAGCAGUGACUGGGGGCUGGGAGACAUAUUCACAUUACAUUACAUUACAUUUUUGGCAUUUGGCAGACGCUCUUAUCCAGAGCGACGUACAGUUGAUUAGACUAAGCAGGAGACAAUCCUCCCCUGGAGCAAUGCAGGGUUAAGGGCCUUGCUCAAGGGCCCAAUGGCUGUGCCAAUCUUAUUGUGGCUACACCAGGAUUAGAACCGCCAACCUUGUGUGUCCCAGUGAUUUACCUUAACCACUACGCUACAGGCCGCCCCACUCGUUUGGCUAGUUGCAUGUCUCGUUGAAAAUGAUCAGAGAUCUGCUGCAUGUUCUGAAAUUUUACCAGCAUCUAAGUCAAAGUGUUUAAAAUGCAUUAUACAACAGAUAGGUCCGGUCCAUUGUCUCUAUUGGUUAGUUUGCGUUCCCACCAUGGCAAUAUCCAGGAUAUACACACAGCUAAAAAACUUUAAAAAUGACUCAGCAUUUUCAGAUCACUGUUAUCUACUUAGUAGCUAAUCGAAAUGAACGUAACUUAAC